rnacentral:rRNA from 1 species
CCUACGGGGGGCAGCAGUGGGGAAUAUUGCACAAUGGGGGAAACCCUGAUGCAGCGACGCCGCGUGAGUGAGGAAGUAUUUCGGUAUGUAAAGCUCUAUCAGCAGGGAAGAAAAUGACGGUACCUGACUAAGAAGCCCCGGCUAACUACGUGCCAGCAGCCGCGGUAAUACGUAGGGGGCAAGCGUUAUCCGGAUUUACUGGGUGUAAAGGGAGCGUAGACGGAGGAGCAAGUCUGAUGUGAAAAUCCGGGGCCCAACCCCGGAACUGCAUUGGAAACUGUUUAUCUAGAGUGUCGGAGAGGCAA